rnacentral:rRNA from 1 species
AUACGGAGGAUGCAAGCGUUAUCCGGAUUUAUUGGGUUUAAAGGGUGCGCAGGCGGCGCGAUAAGUCAGCGGUGAAAUGUACCGGCUCAACCGGUGAGCUGCCGUUGAUACUGUCGUGCUUGAGUGCGAGCGGCGCCGGCGGAAUGUGUGAUGUAGCGGUGAAAUGUAUAGAUAUCACACCAAACACCGAUCGCGAAGGCAGCUGGCGAGGACGUUAGUGACGCUGAGGCACGAAAGCGUGGGGAUCAAACAGGAUUAGAUCCCCUGGUAGUCCACGCAGUAAACGAUGAUGACUUGUUGUCGGCGACAGACAGUCGGUGACAAAGCGAAAGCGAUAAGUCAACCACCUGGGGAGUACGAUCGCAAGGUUGAAACUCAAAGGAAUUGACGGGG